UACGAAGGGGGGCUAGCGUUGCUCGGAUUGACUGGGCGUAAAGGGCGCGUAGGCGGUUCGUACAGUCAGACGUGAAAUUCCUGGGCUCAACCUGGGGGCUGCGUUUGAUACGUGCGGACUUGAGUGCGGAAGAGGGUCGUGGAAUUCCCAGUGUAGAGGUGAAAUUCGUAGAUAUUGGGAAGAACACCGGUGGCGAAGGCGGCGACCUGGUCCGAUACUGACGCUGAGCGCGAAAGCGUGGGGAGCAAACAGG
rnacentral:rRNA from 1 species